UACGGAGGGUGCGAGCGUUGUCCGGAAUCACUGGGCGUAAAGGGCGCGUAGGCGGUCCGGUAAGCGCGUGGUGAAAGCCCGGGGCUCAACCCCGGGUCGGCCGUGCGAACUGGGGGGCUGGAGCACUGUAGAGGCAGGCGGAAUUCCGGGUGUAGCGGUGGAAUGCGUAGAGAUCCGGAAGAACACCGGUGGCGAAGGCGGCCUGCUGGGCAGUUGCUGACACUGAGGCGCGACAGCGUGGGGAGCAAACAGG
rnacentral:rRNA from 1 species